AUAAUACUCCCUCCGUCCUAAAAUUCUUGUCUUAGAAUUGUCUAGAUACGGAUGUACCUAAUACUAAAACGUGACUUGAUACAUCCGUAUUUAGACAAAUCUAAGACAAGAAUUUUGAGACGGAGGGAGUAGCAG
rnacentral:pre_miRNA from 1 species